rnacentral:rRNA from 1 species
GACGAACGCUGGCGGCGUGCCUAAUACAUGCAAGUAGAACGCUGAAGGAGGAGCUUUCUUCUCUGGAUGAUUUGCGAACGGGUGAGUAACGCGUAGGUAACCUGCCUGGUAGCGGGGGAUAACUAUUGGAAACGAUAGCUAAUACCGCAUAAGAGUAGAUGUUGCAUGACAUUUGCUUAAAAGGUGCAAUUUCAUCACUACCAGUUGGACCUGCGUUGUAUUAGUUAGUUGGUGGGGUAACGGCUCACCAAGGCGACGAUACAUAGCCGACCUGCGAGGGGGGAUGGCCAAACUGGGAAUGAGACAAGGCCCAGACCUCUAAGGGAGGGAGCAGUAGGGAAUCUUCGGGAAUGGACGGAAGGCUGAACGAGCAAAGCCGCGGGAGUGAAGAAGGUUCUCGGAUCGGAAAGAUCUGUUGUAAGGGAAGAAAGAGAGGGGGAGGGGAAAGUUCACACUGUGACGGUACCUUACCAGAAAGGGACGGCUAACUACGUG